CCCGAUGUAGCUCAACGUGAAGAGCGUCUGUUUAUUCUUUUAAAACUUUACAAGAAAAAAUGCAGGAGGCUGCAGGUUCGAAUCCUGUCAUCGGGA
rnacentral:tRNA from 1 species